rnacentral:rRNA from 1 species
UGCGCAGGCGGACUUUUAAGUCAGUGGCGAAAUCCCGAGGCUCAACCUCGGAACUGCCAUUGAUACUGGAAGUCUUGAAUUUGGUUGAAGUGGGCGGAAUGUAGCAUGUAGCGGUGAAAUGCUUAGAUAUGCUACAGAACACCGAUCGCGAAGGCAGCUCACUAAGCCAAUAUUGACGCUCAGGCACGAAAGCGUGGGGAGCAAACAGGAUUAGAUACCCUGGUAGUCC